AACGAACGCUGGCGGCAGGCUUAACACAUGCAAGUCGAACGCAUCGCAAGAUGAGUGGCAGACGGGUGAGUAACGCGUGGGGACAUACCCUUUUCUACGGAAUAGCUCUGGGAAACUGGAAUUAAUACCGUAUACGCCCUACGGGGGAAAGAUUUAUCGGGGAAGGAUUGGCCCGCGUUGGAUUAGCUAGUUGGUGGGGUAAAGGCCUACCAAGGCGACGAUCCAUAGCUGGCCUGAGAGGAUGAUCAGCCACAUUGGGACUGAGACACGGCCCAAACUCCUACGGGAGGCAGCAGUGGGGAAUAUUGGACAAUGGGCGCAAGCCUGAUCCAGCCAUGCCGCGUGAGUGAUGAAGGCCUUAGGGUUGUAAAGCUCUUUCACCGAUGAAGAUAAUGACGGUAGUCGGAGAAGAAGCCCCGGCUAACUUCGUGCCAGCCGCCGCCGUAAAAC
rnacentral:rRNA from 1 species